rnacentral:lncRNA from 1 species
UGUUUGAAAGCCUGGUCAGCAGUUGUGGGCACUGUUUGGGAAGGAUUAGGAGGUGUGGCCUUGUGGGAGAAGGUGUGUUGCUGGGGGUGGGCUUGAGGUUUUAAAACUCAUGCCAUUCUCAGUGUUUCCCUCUCUGCCUGUGGUCACAUGUGGUCACAUGUGAGCUCUCAGCUACUGCUCCAGUGCCAAGCUGGUCUUCUGUCAUGUUCUCUGCCAUGAUGGUCAUGAACUCACCCUUUAAACUGUAAAGCCAGUCCCCAGUUAGAUGCUUUCAGUUAUAAAUUGUAUUGUUCAUGGUGUCUUUUCACAACAAUAGAACAGUAACCAAAACACCAGUAUACCAAGAUCCUCAAUUUUUUUCGUAAUUAUUUAACCUUUUCUGACUCUUUACGGAUUUCACAUCAUGCACCCCAGUCCCACUCAUCUCCCUGUCUCUUUAUUCUGGCUCCCCCCCCUGCAACUUCUCCCUCAAAAGAAAAGAAAAUCUCAUUGAGGAAGCUCCAGUCUCUCAUUCUAACUAGACUUAGUCUACUUUACAAAGCAGCAAUUUACAUACUAGGUAUUGCUGAUUUCUUACCCUGCGGUAGUGAAAUACCAAGUUUCUUCCACUUUCUGUCGUUUCAGUUCUACAUGUUAAGCAGCUGUGACUUGCUGAUGAUUUCUGCCGUAGUUUUACAUUUGCCAGGGUAAUUUUAGAACUCAAAACAAAUGACCGAAGUCAUUUUAUAAAACCGUACUUCCCGCCUCUGAAUGUGGCAGUGCCAUCCUGGUUUUGCUUAAAUCCUAGUCUUUGAAAUUAUCCUUAGUUCAUUUUUUUUUUGUAAUGUUUCCCACAUACCAUUCAAUAUAAUUCUUUUGCUUCCAAAAAAUCUGGAAAUGUGACUAAAUCUUAUACCUCCACUUCCUCCAUCCUAGUUCACCAUCAUCUUUCUUCAGUAUAACUCCUUCUGAGACUCUCUGCUGGUCUGAUGCUCUCAAAAAGUAGCCUUUCAUCCUUCUGAAAAGCCGGGGACCAUUUACUCAGAGCCUUCAGUGCUUCCCAGGCAUCUCUGAGUGAAGCACAAGCAUGUCAGAUGAAGUCUAGUUCAUGGUCCCAGUCUCUUUCAUGCAGGAUCUUUAUGAAGAGUUUUAUUCCCUCUACCAGUCACCACAUCCUUGCUUUGCCUUGCACAGGCACUCUGAACUCACUAACCCCUUUGGCUGGGGUGCCUUUUCUCUGUAUCUCAGUAUAACUUUCUCCUCCUCAGGUCUUUGCUCUUAUCCCUUAGGCUUCUUACUAAGUGUUCCUUCUUCAUACUGAUUUUUUUCUUUUUAAAGUAUAAUCUCCGUGGAGGCAGGGUUUUUUAAAUAGGAAAUUUUUGCAUGGCUAAUAGCUUUCAGCAAGUAGUUGUUGAGUGAAAUAAUAAUUAAGAUAGUUAUUUGUUUCGUGUAACAUCAUAGGAAGUGAGACUACCUUGCUUGCCGUCCAAGACCAGCUUGCUAUAGUUGCAUGUCUAUCUCUGGGUGUGUCUUGUGAUGUGUGCAUGUGAGUGUGUAGGCACAUGUAGAAGCCAUACAGGACAUAGAGUACUUUCUCGUGUCACCCUGCCUUACUGACUUGAGACAGGCUCUCUCCCUGAACUGAGGCUAGCUGGCUAACUGGGUUGGUUGGGCAGUGAGCUUUUGGAUCUGCCCUGUCUCCACCCUGCAGUGCUUCAGGUACAGACAUGGGCAGGCCUGACCAGCAUGUUUAUACAGAUGCUGGAGAUUCAAGCUCAGAUCCUCAUGCCUGCAGAACAAGUGCUCCUACCCACUGAGCCAUCUCCCCAGCUCUAGCCUGCUACAGUUUAUAUAUUCAUAUAUUACUAGAGGCCUAUUGGUUGGUAGAGGAAUAUCACAGCAGCGGUUACUUUCCUCCUCUGUCCUUUUUGAUUGGUCAUGAGAUGGUGCCAGAUAGUUACAUAUGUGGGCAGUGGAUUUGCAUCCCAGGAGGGAAGGCUGAAAUUGCUCUUUCUCCUUAGGGAGACACUGUGUCUGUUUCCAGCUUUGUCCCAUAUGUGAAACCCUUGCACCUUUUGCUCAGAUUGCCCUUUCUGUAGGAAUAUGAGUAGUCCUUGGAGAAUUGUUUCUUAGCAGUGAUUCCAAAUACCAGAAAUUUCAUCUGUUAAUACUUGAAUGCAGACUUAGGGUGAGAGGUUUUCAGAAUCUUCUCCACUUCCCUUUCCAUCUCUUCCUUUUUCCUCUGGGUUGGUUCAUUGUUAAGAAGGAACUUAAGCUUUUAGUUUAGCAACUUCAGCUGAAAGAGAACUUUCCUGCUUGAAGAAAUGUUGGGUGAGCGAAGCUGGCAGUGUAGCUCAGUGGUAGGGUGUUUGAGCAGUAUGCAUGAGGCUAUGGGACCCUCAGCCAAGAGGGUGGAAGAGAUGUCCAGUGGCCUGUCUACUGUAGGAACUUUAGAAAGUCAAUGAUCAGUGCCAUCUAAACCAUGAGGAAGGAGGAUGAGAAAGAUCUAGCCUAAUAGAAGAAAAUUGAGUGAGAUGUGGUACCCCCAGAAAGGGAGAGAGGGAUACAAGCUUCAGAGUCAAAUGAGCAGUAAUGGAUUACAGGUCCCUUAUUCACAUGCAACUCAGGCUGAUUU